AGAAUUAUAAAAAUAAAAAAAAAAGCCGGUCGAGGCGCUAUGGCAUUUGGAAGCCCACCAGCGGGGGAAGGCCCACCCGACCCCGGCCUUUUCCACCCAUGGGGCACGGCUCCCCCGUAUCGAGGGUCCGGGCGGCUCUUCCCCAGGGCGGCGCAAGAUGAGGGCAUCGCGAGGUGGCGCAAGGCGAGGGCAGCACGGAGGCGACGCCGUCUUCAGCGCUCGGGAACCGCCGCCGCCGUUGUCCACGCUCGGGAGCUGCCACACCGCUGCCGUCCGUGCUCGUCCUCCGCCUUCUGUCCUCGGCCGCCUCCGCCGUCGUCCGCGCUCGGUGGCCCCCGUCUUCCGUGCUCGGCCGCCUCCGCCGUCGUCCGCGCUUGGCGGCCCCCGUCUUCCGUGCUCGGCCGCCGCCACAACCCAUCCUUACCUCGUCCUCCGCCAACUGCGAUGUAGCGUUGUAUUGCGAGUGAACACAAUACCACUGAGUUGACAAAUCACAAGAAGAUGGCUGAACUCUACUCUUAUUUCAGUCAGCUGUUGCAAUCUUGCGGAGAAACAAAGAACUAUCUCUACAUAUCAGGGCAUGCAUGGGUCAACUACAGAUCCCUCAUUGACCAUUAUUGGUGUUAGCUUGAGUCUUGGUUUUUAGGGGUCGCUCUCCUCCUGGGAAUGAAGUUUGUGCCUUGCCAAAAAAUGAAUUUGAGGUUAGCGUUUGGGAGUGCCCCUUCAUUUUCUGGAUCUGUAGAGAACUGAAGAGCUUGUCUUGUUUGAGUUGAAAAUGUUAGGUGCAUCAGCUGGUAGUCUGCUGGUGUGCCAGUGUAUGUUUGAUCUUAAGCGUGAUGCUAUUUUAUCAUGUAUUAUCUGAAUUUUCAGACAUAAUAUAGUUUGCUAUGUGAAGACUGCACGUAUGUAUGGUGAUGCACACACAUUAUGAGAUCAGAAAAACGUUUUGCUUCAAGUAUAAA